GCCUGAGUGGCUCAGUCGGUUGAGCGUCUGACUUCGGCUCAGGUCAUGAUCUUGAGGUUCGUGGGUUCGAGCCCCACGUCGGGCU
rfam:Felis catus isolate Cinnamon breed Abyssinian chromosome F1, whole genome shotgun sequence.